UCUGCCCUCCUCGGCAUCCCAAAGUGCUGGAAUUACAGACAUGAGCCACCAUGCUCAGCCUUGAAAGUAUUUUUCUAGAUGAUAAUCCACCUGACUGAUUUAUUUCUUAUUUGGCUCAGGAAGCAUGAUGGCAUAAGGAUUAAGAACACAGGCUCCGCAGUCAUAUACCUAAGUCAAGCAGUUUAUUGUGGUUUAAUGAUGAGAUGCAUGUGCUGAGGAGGUAAUCAGAAGAAGUGAGAAAAGGAGACGGUGUGAAAUUUUGAAGAUUUUAUAUGCCAUGAUGCAGAAAUAAAAGUUCAGCAGGGUCAAGUAAGUUGUCCAAUGUUCAGUAUGAUGGAGUGGGAUUCACAUGCAAGACUAACUACCACUGAACCAUUUACUUCUGACUUUGCUAUUCUGCUUCCACUCACUGAACAUCUCUCUGAGCAAGGCUCAGCACCUGGUAUGAAGGCUGAAACAAGAGCGGUUGCACAGCAAAUGUUUUGCUAUAAUGAGAGAAUACAUGAAUUAAAUGCGAAUUAAACUGCUUCUA
rnacentral:lncRNA from 1 species